AGGAUGAACGCUGGCGGUCUGCUUAACACAUGCAAGUCGAACGGGCGUAGCAAUACGUUAGUGGCGGACGGGUGAGUAACGCGUGAGAAUCUACCUUCAGGACGGAGACAACAGUUGGAAACGACUGCUAACCCCCGAUGUACUGAAAAGGCAAAUAUUUAUAGCCUGAAGAAGAGCUCGCGUCCGAUUAGCUAGUUGGAGAGGUAAAAGCUCACCAAGGCGACGAUCGGUAGCUGGUCUGAGAGGACGAUCAGCCACACUGGGACUGAGACACGGCCCAGACUCCUACGGGAGGCAGCAGUGGGAAUUUUCCGCAAUGGGCGAAAGCCUGACGGAGCAAGACCGCGUGGGGGAAGAAGGCUCGUUGGGUUGUAAACCCCUUUUCUCUGGGAAGAAAGUUGUGAAAGCAGCCUGACGGUACCAGAGGAAUCAGCAUCGGCUAACUCCGUGCCAGCAGCCGC
rnacentral:rRNA from 1 species